rnacentral:rRNA from 1 species
ACCUACGGGAGGCAGCAGUGGGGAAUAUUGCACAAUGGGGGAAACCCUGAUGCAGCGACGCCACGUGAGUGAGGAAGUAUUUCGGUAUGUAAAGCUCUAUCAGCAGGGAAGAAAAUGACGGUACCUGACUAAGAAGCCCCGGCUAACUACGUGCCAGCAGCCGCGGUAAUACGUAGGGGGCAAGCGUUAUCCGGAUUUACUGGGUGUAAAGGGAGCGUAGACGGCGCGGCAAGUCUGAAGUGAAAGGCAGGGGCUUAACCCCUGAACUGCUUUGGAAACUGCCAUGCUAGAGUGCAGGAGAGGUA